GGGUUGUGAGGUUAAGCGACUAAGCGUACACGGUGGAUGCCCUGGCAGUCAGAGGCGAUGAAGGACGUGCUAAUCUGCGAUAAGCGUCGGUAAGGUGAUAUGAACCGUUAUAACCGGCGAUUUCCGAAUGGGGAAACCCAGUGUGAUUCGUCACACUAUCAUUAACUGAAUCCAUAGGUUAAUGAGGCGAACCGGGGGAACUGAAACAUCUAAGUACCCCGAGGAAAAGAAAUCAACCGAGAUUCCCCCAGUAGCGGCGAGCGAACGGGGAGCAGCCCAGAGCCUGAAUCAGUGUGUGUGUUAGUGGAAGCGUCUGGAAAGGCGUGCGAUACAGGGUGACAGCCCCGUACACAAAAAUGCACAUGCUGUGAGCUCGAUGAGUAGGGCGGGACACGUGGUAUCCUGUCUGAAUAUGGGGGGACCAUCCUCCAAGGCUAAAUACUCCUGACUGACCGAUAGUGAACCAGUACCGUGAGGGAAAGGCGAAAAGAACCCCGGCGAGGGGAGUGAAAAAGAACCUGAAACCGUGUACGUACAAGCAGUGGGAGCACGCUUAGGCGUGUGACUGCGUACCUUUUGUAUAAUGGGUCAGCGACUUAUAUUCUGUAGCAAGGUUAACCGAAUAGGGGAGCCGAAGGGAAACCGAGUCUUAACUGGGCGUUAAGUUGCAGGGUAUAGACCCGAAACCCGGUGAUCUAGCCAUGGGCAGGUUGAAGGUUGGGUAACACUAACUGGAGGACCGAACCGACUAAUGUUGAAAAAUUAGCGGAUGACUUGUGGCUGGGGGUGAAAGGCCAAUCAAACCGGGAGAUAGCUGGUUCUCCCCGAAAGCUAUUUAGGUAGCGCCUCGUGAAUUCAUCUCCGGGGGUAGAGCACUGUUUCGGCAAGGGGGUCAUCCCGACUUACCAACCCGAUGCAAACUGCGAAUACCGGAGAAUGUUAUCACGGGAGACACACGGCGGGUGCUAACGUCCGUCGUGAAGAGGGAAACAACCCAGACCGCCAGCUAAGGUCCCAAAGUCAUGGUUAAGUGGGAAACGAUGUGGGAAGGCCCAGACAGCCAGGAUGUUGGCUUAGAAGCAGCCAUCAUUUAAAGAAAGCGUAAUAGCUCACUGGUCGAGUCGGCCUGCGCGGAAGAUGUAACGGGGCUAAACCAUGCACCGAAGCUGCGGCAGCGACACUAUGUGUUGUUGGGUAGGGGAGCGUUCUGUAAGCCUGUGAAGGUGUACUGUGAGGUAUGCUGGAGGUAUCAGAAGUGCGAAUGCUGACAUAAGUAACGAUAAAGCGGGUGAAAAGCCCGCUCGCCGGAAGACCAAGGGUUCCUGUCCAACGUUAAUCGGGGCAGGGUGAGUCGACCCCUAAGGCGAGGCCGAAAGGCGUAGUCGAUGGGAAACAGGUUAAUAUUCCUGUACUUGGUGUUACUGCGAAGGGGGGACGGAGAAGGCUAUGUUGGCCGGGCGACGGUUGUCCCGGUUUAAGCGUGUAGGCUGGUUUUCCAGGCAAAUCCGGAAAAUCAAGGCUGAGGCGUGAUGACGAGGCACUACGGUGCUGAAGCAACAAAUGCCCUGCUUCCAGGAAAAGCCUCUAAGCAUCAGGUAACAUCAAAUCGUACCCCAAACCGACACAGGUGGUCAGGUAGAGAAUACCAAGGCGCUUGAGAGAACUCGGGUGAAGGAACUAGGCAAAAUGGUGCCGUAACUUCGGGAGAAGGCACGCUGAUAUGUAGGUGAAGUCCCUCGCGGAUGGAGCUGAAAUCAGUCGAAGAUACCAGCUGGCUGCAACUGUUUAUUAAAAACACAGCACUGUGCAAACACGAAAGUGGACGUAUACGGUGUGACGCCUGCCCGGUGCCGGAAGGUUAAUUGAUGGGGUUAGCGCAAGCGAAGCUCUUGAUCGAAGCCCCGGUAAACGGCGGCCGUAACUAUAACGGUCCUAAGGUAGCGAAAUUCCUUGUCGGGUAAGUUCCGACCUGCACGAAUGGCGUAAUGAUGGCCAGGCUGUCUCCACCCGAGACUCAGUGAAAUUGAACUCGCUGUGAAGAUGCAGUGUACCCGCGGCAAGACGGAAAGACCCCGUGAACCUUUACUAUAGCUUGACACUGAACAUUGAGCCUUGAUGUGUAGGAUAGGUGGGAGGCUUUGAAGUGUGGACGCCAGUCUGCAUGGAGCCGACCUUGAAAUACCACCCUUUAAUGUUUGAUGUUCUAACGUUGACCCGUAAUCCGGGUUGCGGACAGUGUCUGGUGGGUAGUUUGACUGGGGCGGUCUCCUCCUAAAGAGUAACGGAGGAGCACGAAGGUUGGCUAAUCCUGGUCGGACAUCAGGAGGUUAGUGCAAUGGCAUAAGCCAGCUUGACUGCGAGCGUGACGGCGCGAGCAGGUGCGAAAGCAGGUCAUAGUGAUCCGGUGGUUCUGAAUGGAAGGGCCAUCGCUCAACGGAUAAAAGGUACUCCGGGGAUAACAGGCUGAUACCGCCCAAGAGUUCAUAUCGACGGCGGUGUUUGGCACCUCGAUGUCGGCUCAUCACAUCCUGGGGCUGAAGUAGGUCCCAAGGGUAUGGCUGUUCGCCAUUUAAAGUGGUACGCGAGCUGGGUUUAGAACGUCGUGAGACAGUUCGGUCCCUAUCUGCCGUGGGCGCUGGAGAACUGAGGGGGGCUGCUCCUAGUACGAGAGGACCGGAGUGGACGCAUCACUGGUGUUCGGGUUGUCAUGCCAAUGGCACUGCCCGGUAGCUAAAUGCGGAAGAGAUAAGUGCUGAAAGCAUCUAAGCACGAAACUUGCCCCGAGAUGAGUUCUCCCUGACUCCUUGAGAGUCCUGAAGGAACGUUGAAGACGACGACGUUGAUAGGCCGGGUGUGUAAGCGCAGCGAUGCGUUGAGCUAACCGGUACUAAUGAACCGUGAGGCUUAACCUUACAACGCCGAAGGUGUUU
rnacentral:rRNA from 1 species